rnacentral:rRNA from 1 species
CAGUCGCCGCGGGAAUACGAAGGGUGCAAGCGUUACUCGGAAUUACUGGGCGUAAAGCGUGCGUAGGUGGUGGUUUAAGUCCGUUGUGAAAGCCCUGGGCUCAACCUGGGAAUUGCAGUGGAUACUGGGUCACUAGAGUGUGGUGAGGAUAGUGGAAUUUCCGGUGUAGCAGUGAAAUGCGUAGAGAUCGGAAGGAACAUCUGUGGCGAAGGCGACUAUCUGGGCCAACACUGACACUGAGGCACGAAAGCGUGGGGAGCAAACAGGAUUAGAUACCCCAGUAGUCCCUGUCUCUUAUACA